rnacentral:lncRNA from 1 species
UAAUUCUUGCGUAGUUGUUGCUUGCUCCUGCAAUGUGUUCCAAUUCUAAACUCUCAGCUAGCCUGGAAGAAAUUUUUUAACAAAGAGAAGCUUAGAACAUAAGCUCUUGGAUUAGUACAAGAUGAAAUGUUCUUUGAUAAAACUAUGAGAGAAGUACCGUAGAAAUGUCUUGAGGUUGUCUUGGAGCACCAAUGUCUUAGGUUGUGUUGGAGUGGUCAGCUUUGGCUUUUUGACCUAAAAAACCAAGAUACUUUGCCAAACAUACUGCCUACAAAUGUAUUUUCUUGAUGUGCUUAGUGACACAGGAAGUUAUACACUUGAUUCAGUACCACCUUGCUUGGUCACAUUGCUAUUUCAAGCAUGAGCAUUUUCCGAUUCUUGACCACCAUCUGCUUUCUACAUUUGAGGUUCAGUUCAACUGUAAGUAAACUUAUAAUCCCUCCAUCUCAAUAUAAGUGUCUCGACUUUGUACUAACUUCAAUCGUUCCACAACACCAUAAAUUUCACCAGAGUUAAAUAGUUGAUGAUCGCAAGCUGCACAAAAUGAAUAUUUCACACCCUAAGCUAUAAAAUAUGCAUUGAAAAUACAUUAGUAUGCAGUACUAGAACAUCAAUAAAAAUUCUCUGUGGGUCAAUCAAAUAUUAGAGAACAUUGAAGUUGCUCUCUGAACUGACACCUGAGCUUGCUAGUGAAAGCAAUCAUAUGGGUCAUUAGCAAUUUUCAUUUCUAUAUUGCUGGUAAAUGUACUCAACUGUUAGACAAAUAUGUUCACAAAAACUAAAGCUGCUGAUGGAUACAUAAAAACCCACCAACCAUUUUAGAAUAAUUUGGGGACAACGACUCUCAAAUCAUUAAGCCCCAUAUCACACGGAUCACAACGAUGCGUAGUCCUAAUAUUAGAUAGGGAAAAACAUGUGCUCAUAAUAAAAGAUCAACAAAUGUACUCAACUGUCAUACCACCAAUACUUUUGAGUAUUUCUUAGAAAAUAAAAUAUAAACAGUACUACUAAAAAUAUCAAAUCGAUGUGCCAUUAUCUCCUACAAAGAUCCAAAGGGGAAAUUAGUAGAGAAAAAUUAAGUGGUUCUGGAGUAAGGAAAAAAAUCUCAUCUGUUUUGCUGACUUGCAUUGCACGUAAAGUUAUGCCCAAAAUGUAAUGCUUGACCUGGGAAUAAUGUAGUUUUGUAGUAUACUGCCAAUAAAUCAUGCUCAAUUGUAUUGGAACCCAAUAUACUCCCCAAGACCCAUGUCGCCAGAACUAAGUUCUGAAUGAACUUUACUACAUAGUCAUCAAGCUGGAGCAUUUUUCGGUAUGUUAGCAAUUCAGCAUAUCAUGUAUUUAUGUGUUUGAACAUCAUGUGAAUUCAAACCGGAAUUCCUUCCAUUCAUGAAAUUGAACAUAGCGUAAUGGAGAGAUCAAGAAUGAAAAAGACUUACCAUGUUAUAUU